ACGAACAUAAAAUUGUUUCCGACUAUACUCAAACCGGGAGUGUUAGGAAAUCCUUUAUAUGUUUUGAAAAUGAUAAAGACAAACGCCCUUGCUUGCUUGCAUUUCAUUGGUAGUGUUCAUUUUAUAAAAUCAGCAGAUCUCUGUUGGUUUUCAUCAUUUAACUGAAGCUUUUGAGGUCGAUUUAAGGAUGCAGUUGACGUUUUUCGCAGGUUUCUUUGUUUUGGCAGUUUUUGUUACACACGUAAAUGGGUGUGCCUUCAUGGUAUGUGAGAACAAGUCUGCAUACAUCAAAUGUCCAUAUCCGUUGACAAUUUCGGUACGAUCAGCAAUAUAUGGGCGGUCCACUGAUUCAUCUGUAUGCCCUGGAAAAGUCAAAACAACUCAUUGCAGUUCAUCAAGGUCAAACAGUAAGGUCAAAGCGCAAUGCAAUGGCAAAAGAUUUUGUUUAUUGAAACCAACCAACCGUCAAUAUGGAGACCCUUGCCGCGGAACACAUAAGUACCUAGAAGUGGAGUUCAAGUGCAUUUAAGAUUUGCGUAACAACUUCAUUGUCACACGCCGUUAGUGUGUUGAAGAAAAAUAAUCCAUGCGUUUUGUUUUGGCAAACUGCUUUUUUUCAAUGUGACCAAACAUUUCAAGAAAAACUGAACUAUUCAACACUUGAUACUUGUUUUUUAAAUCUAUCUUUUGUUAAUCUAUAAUAUUUAUGGAGAACGGCUUGCUAAAAAAAUGUUUUAAUAUCUUG